rnacentral:misc_RNA from 1 species
GAUGGUUUGGGAAUCUCCAUCAUCAGCUAGCAAAUUAUCAGUAUGGAAAUCAAACACACUGAAGUUGCAGGUGAAAGACAACAAGGAGUACACCUAGGAUGAUGAGGAUAAAGUAAUGAGAGAAAGUAUUUGGCAGCUAUAGAUGUAACUCUAAACCAAGUAGAAUCAAGAAAAAAGAUCUAGAGAGCUGACUGCAACUAAAUUAAGAUUGAGGCAUAGUUGAGAUGAAAAGAAACAUUUCAUGGAAGCAAAUCUGAUAUAAGCAGAAUUGCUGAUUCAGAAAUGGUGGGCCAUGAUCCAAAACCACUGAGAGUUUACUACAGGAAGAAUUUCAGAAAG